ensembl:lncRNA
CCCGAUGGUUUUUCUUCGUGUUUAAUUAUGUUGCAAUGUUUUGCUAAAAAAGCACCAACAGUUCCUAACGGGGCACUGUCUGUUUAUUUCUAUGGUCGCAACACCGCCGAAGAAGAGGAGGUGAAAGCUGAUUCGCUGGAAGCGGAAAACGUCACUUCCGCAAGUUAGUUAAGUACGUGAGACAAACGUUCGUUGGCCACGUUUUCGUUUCGACCGUUGAAGAGCAAGCUGCUAAAUCUGGCGUCUCUUGUUGAAGUGGUUUUUAAAAGGAUUUAAAGCUUUGUUUGUUCUAUUUCAACCACUAGUUGAUACUAUUAUAAAUCAUUUACUUUUAGACAACCAAAGACAAUUUUUUUUUCUUGGCAAUGUUUCUUGAAAUCACGACAAUGAAAGGAAACUACCAGAAGGACAUCAAGACCGCGCCUGUUCACAAGAAAAAGUGGUCAAAACCGAAGAGGAGGACAUUUCUGCGCUCAAAUAUGGGCGAAAGGAGAAGAAGGGUCCGCGUCUGGUCGUCGUCGAGACCGCAGCGGAGUCCGGACCGUGUCGACAGGACAGCUACGGGGAAUCAACGUCACCUAACAGUAGCCAUGGCACCAAGAAACACGACGCAAUAUUUAAUGGACCUGGUGUAUGCUGAGAGAUUAGACGUUUCAAUGGAGGCAUGUGACAUCUUUGGACUUUCAGCAGCGAGACUUCGAGAGCGUGUUCUUCAGGAAUGAAAUCUGACGUGUUUUCCAAAACCUGACUCGAUUUCGUCGGAACGAGGCGACCGGGCUGCUGUGUAACCAUAGACAGUAACAUCAUUGCGCAGACUCCAACUCGGGGAGGCGGAACGCUCUGCGUCACAGCUGCGCGAUGACGUGUACGCCCCGCCCUCAGCACGGCCACCAUCACGUGGCCAGCAGCUUGGAAGUCAAUUGACCCUUCGCAAAGACCCGCCCCCACUUCAUUACUGUUGCUACAUCCGAAAAGCCAUGAUGCUCUCACGCAGUGAAAAAUACAUCACAGAGCAAAGAGGAAACAGACAAGCACCGACAUUCAAGACAGAGCUGAUUACUUUAGGUAUGAAUCAAAGUCUCCGCUUUCAAAUUUUGUCAUUUUGUAAGAAAUUCAAACAAUAAAUAGGCUCUUUCAUGUGUCGUGACAGAUUGCUGUAGCGCCUUAGUUCAGGCAGCUCGUGAACCAAUCAUCUCUUCCUCUUUACUAACACAAAAUAAACAUGAAUGAGCAUCAGAAGGUAUCUUGUUUCAACUGUGGAAAGAUGUCAAU